rnacentral:rRNA from 1 species
UGUCUACGGGGGGCAGCAGUGAGGGAUAUUGGUCAAUGGGGGAAACCCUGAACCAGCAACGCCGCGUGAGGGAAGACGGUUUUCGGAUUGUAAACCUCUGUCCUCUGUGAAGAUAAUGACGGUAGCAGAGGAGGAAGCUCCGGCUAACUACGUGCCAGCAGCCGCGGUAAUACGUAGGGAGCAAGCGUUGUCCGGAUUUAUUGGGUGUAAAGGGUGCGUAGACGGGAAAUUAAGUUAGUUGUGAAAUCCCUCGGCUCAACUGAGG